rnacentral:rRNA from 1 species
GACAGAGGCCUCAAGCGUUAGGCGGAAUCACUGGGCUUAAAGCGUGUGUAGGCGGAUCGUUAAGUGCCUUGUGAAAUCCCACGGCUUAACUGUGGAACGGCUGGGCAUACUGGCGGUCUUGAGCCAUCUAGGGGCGACUGGAACAAACGGUGGAGCGGUGAAAUGCGUAGAUAUCGUUUGGAACACCAAUGGUGAAAACAGGUCUCUGGGCAUAAACUGACGCUGAGACGCGAAAGCCAGGGGAGCAAACAGG